UACGUAGGGGGCGAGCGUUGUCCGGAGUUACUGGACGUAAAGCGCACGCAGGCGGUCUGCUAAGUUUGGAGUGACAGUUGGUGGCUUAACUGCCAAAGUGCUUCGAAAACUGACAGACUUGAGGGCUUCAGAGGGACACGGAAUUCCGGGUGGAGUGGUGAAAUGCGUAGAGAUCCGGAGGAACACCAAAGGCGAAGGCAGUGUCCUGGGGAGUACCUGACGCUCAGGUGCGAAAGCCAGGGGAGCGAACGGG
rnacentral:rRNA from 1 species